AACUGUGGCGAGGGCUGAGGUGGGAGGUCGGGGGCGUCCCCGCGGGGUUAGCGUGCAAGAGAGCGAGGUGCACCAGCGGGCAUGGAUGGCCUGUGCAGAGUCCAGUCUUGUGAGGGCGGCGACCUAGGCAGCGAAUCGCGGGAGUUUCCUAUUGGCAGUAAUCCGAGUCCCAGACGUUAAUUUGUAACAAAAGUAGCGAUGGCCAAGUCCAUAAAGGGGGCAUCUCGGGAAGCCGUUGGCAUGCACCGAAGAGAUGAAAGCCCCGUGCGCGCUAGAAAACGGUUUCGCAACUCUCUUCGGGAAGCAAAUGCGCUGCCCCGCCAAAACAUAAAGUUGGCGAACUGUGCCUGACCCCUCUGGGGUUUUGGAAUGCCUCGUCCUCCCAGGAAAAAAAUCCAGGGAAAUCAUCUUUUCCUUAAAAAGCAAAAAUGUCCAAAUUAUUUCUGUGACUGAAGUAGUUUGUCUGCGGUUGACCAGGGACAUGGCAAGGCCUUGUUUGUGCAUUUAAGGUAAAUCAGAUUCUCUUCUAGGAGUCUGGAAGAGAACCUCCCCAAGGGCACCCUCUUUCCCUUCUGACACAGGGGAAAUACCACAUAUAAAGAGCUACAAAUGUUUGAAGGAGAAGAAAAAAAAGAAAAAUUCCAGCAUGUUAAAAUUUGAUAUUUUAUUUGGGCCCUUUUCAGCAAUGGUAGUCAAUUCCAAAAAGAACCACACGAGAGGUUUCACAUGUGGGGUCAUCCAUCCUUCCAGGGACGCAGAAGGUUCCUGUACAUACUAGGUGUCUGAUGAAUGUGAGCUCCCUUCCCCCGCUUACCUCCUCCAUAGGAAUGCAUGCCUAUCCAGGAAAACACAAAACACACGCAUGUCAGGCCUCUGAGCCCAAGCCUGCACAUAUACAUCCAGAUGGCUUGAAGCAACUGAAGAAUCACAAAAGAAGUGAAAAUGCUGAAGCAACUGAAGAAUCACAAAAGAAGUGAAAAUGGCCGGUUCCUGCCUUAACUGAUAAGACAAUCACCUGUCCUCCUGCUCUUUGCUCUGUGAGAAAGAUCUACCUACGACCUCAGGUCCUCAGACCAACCAGCUCCAGGAACAUCUCACCAAUUUUAAAUUGGAAGACAAGAAUGUCAAGACUCUGAGCCCAACUCUGCACAUAUACAUCCAGAUGGUAUGAAGCUACUGAAGAAUCACAAAAGAAGUGAAAAUGGCCGGUUCCUGCCUUAACUGAUGACAUUACCUUGUGAAAUUCCUUCUGGCUCAGAAGCUCCCCCACUGAGCACCUUGUGACCCCCACCCCUGCCCGCAAGAGAACAACCCCCUUUAACUGUAAUUUUCUACUACCUACCUAAAUCCUAUAAAACUGCCCCAGCCCUAUAACUCCCUUUGCUGACUCUCUUUUCGGACUCAGCCCACCUGCAAUUAAAAAGCUUUAUUGCUC